rnacentral:misc_RNA from 1 species
CCAAACUUGGUCAUUUAGAGGAAGUAAAAGUCGUAACAAGGUUUCCGUAGGUGAACCUGCGGAAGGAUCAUUAUUGAAUAUGCUUGAUGGGUUUGUAGCUGGUCCUUUGGGGCAUGUGCACGACCUGUCUUGACUUCUAUUCAUCCACCUGUGCAUACUUUGUAGUCUUAUUUUGGGGGGCAGAUGAAGUUACCGACUCGGUUGAAAAAGCCGGAUAUGGUGAGGACUGUGCUCAACUUCCUCUGGGUGGCAGAUUUCUCCCCUCGCAGGACUAUGUCUUUUAUCACAAACCCAUAUAGUAUGUUGUCAGAAUGUAGUCAAUAGGCCUCUGUGCCUAUAAAACCUUAUACAACUUUCAGCAACGGAUCUCUUGGCUCUCGCAUCGAUGAAGAACGCAGC